rnacentral:lncRNA from 1 species
UCCUACCUACCUUCCUGGCCACUUGCAUACCCUAACACAGACACACCACUUCCUGACCGAGUUGUAUAUAUAAUAUUUCCCACUUUUAUUAUUAGAUUGUAGAAAAUUUUUCAUUGUUUUCCUUUGUUAAGAAAAUGGAAACUUGAAAAUGGUGAUAAAAAUUGAUAUAUAUGUGAUAUUUGCAUUAUUAAAACCCUUUGCAGAUCUAAAGUCUCAGGGCUACA